AGCAGCCGCGGUAAUUCCAGCUCCAAUAGCGUAUAUUAAAGUUGUUGCAGUUAAAAAGCUCGUAGUUGAAUUUCGGGAUCAAAUUGUUGGUCGUGCCUCGGUACGCACUGGUAUUAUUGGUUCCUACCUUCUGAAGAACCGCGAUGUCAUUAAUUUGGUGUCGUGGGGAAUCAGGACUGUUACUUUGAAAAAAUUAGAGUGUUUAAAGCAGGCUUACGCUUGAAUACAUUAGCAUGGAAUAAUGAAAUAGGACGUUUGAUUCUAUUUUGUUGGUUUCUAGGAUUGACGUAAUGAUUAAUAGGGAUAGUUGGGGGCAUUAGUAUUCAAUUGUCAGAGGUGAAAUUCUUGGAUUUAUUGAAGACUAACUACUGCGAAAGCAUUUGCCAAGGAUGUUUUCAUUAAUCAAGAACGAAAGUUAGGGGAUCGAAGACGAUCAGAUACCGUCGUAGUCUUAACCAUAAACUAUGCCGACUAGGGAUCGGAUGAUGUUAAUUUUUUAAUGACUCAUUCGGCGCCUUAC
rnacentral:sRNA from 1 species